AUUGAACGCUGGCGGUAUGCUUAACACAUGCAAGUCGAACGGAAACGAUGGAAGCUUGCUUCCAGGCGUCGAGUGGCGGACGGGUGAGUAACGCGUAGGAAUCUGCCUGAUAGUGGGGGAUAGCCCGGAGAAAUUCGGAUUAAUACCGCAUAAUCUCUACGGAGUAAAGGGGGCCUCUAUUUAUAUGCUUUCGCUAUCAGAUGAGCCUGCGUAAGAUUAGCUAGUUGGUGAGGUAAAAGCUCACCAAGGCAACGAUCUUUAGCUGGUCUGAGAGGAUGAUCAGCCACACUGGGACUGAGACACGGCCCAGACUCCUACGGGAGGCAGCAGUGGGGAAUAUUGGACAAUGGGCGCAAGCCUGAUCCAGCAAUACCGCGUGUGUGAAGAAGGCCUGAGGGUUGUAAAGCACUUUCAAUUGUGAAGAAAAGCUAAAGACCAAUAAUCUUUAGCCUUGACGUUAACUUUAGAAGAAGCACCGGCUAACUCCGUGCCAGCAGCCGCGGUAAUACGGAGGGUGCAAGCGUUAAUCGGAAUUACUGGGCGUAAAGCGUGCGUAGGUGGUUUGUUAAGUCAGAUGUGAAAUCCCCGGGCUCAACCUGGGAACUGCAUUUGAAACUGGCAAACUAGAGUAUAGGAGAGGAAAGUGGAAUUUCUGGUGUAGCGGUGAAAUGCGUAGAUAUCAGAAGGAACAUCAAUGGCGAAGGCAGCUUUCUGGACUAAUACUGACACUGAGGUACGAAAGCGUGGGUAGCAAACAGGAUUAGAUACCCUGGUAGUCCACGCCGUAAACGAUGAUAACCAGCCGUUGGGAGGGUUUACCUCUUAGUGGCGAAGCUAACGCGUUAAGUUAUCCGCCUGGGGAGUACGGCCGCAAGGUUAAAACUCAAAGGAAUUGACGGGGACCCGCACAAGCGGUGGAGCAUGUGGUUUAAUUCGAUGCAACGCGAAGAACCUUACCUGGUCUUGACAUACACGGAACUUUCCAGAGAUGGAUUGGUGCCUUCGGGAACCGUGAUACAGGUGCUGCAUGGCUGUCGUCAGCUCGUGUCGUGAGAUGUUGGGUUAAGUCCCGUAACGAGCGCAACCCUUAUCCUUAUUUGCCAGCACAUAAUGGUGGGAACUAUAAGGAGACUGCCGGUGAUAAACCGGAGGAAGGCGGGGACAACGUCAAGUCAUCAUGGCCCUUACGACCAGGGCUACACACGUGCUACAAUGGGAAGGACAAAGGGUCGCUAAGCCGCGAGGUGGUGCUAAUCUCAUAAACCUUUUCGUAGUCCGGAUCGGAGUCUGCAACUCGACUCCGUGAAGUCGGAAUCGCUAGUAAUCGUGGAUCAGAACGCCACGGUGAAUACGUUCCCGGGUCUUGUACACACCGCCCGUCAUACCAUGGGAGUGGGUUGCACCAGAAGUAGCUAGUCUAACUGUUUACAGGGGACGGUUACCACGGUGUGACUCAUGACUGGGGUAAAGUCGUAACAAGGUAGCCCUACCGGAAGGUGGGGCUGGAUCACCUCCUUAAGAAAAGUAUGAGUGUCCACAACAAGUUGUUUGAUUAAUAUUUUAUGAGAAGAAAGAUCAAGUGAUCCCUUGUAAAUUAUGAAAUAUUUUAUUCGGGUCUGUAGCUCAGUUGGUUAGAGCGCACCCCUGAUAAGGGUGAGGUCGGUGGUUCAAAUCCACCCAGACCCACCAAUUUUUCAUUGUUUAUUGAUAGUUAGGUUAUGCCGUUUUAUCUUUAUUUUAGGCAGUACGUUUUAAGCUUAUCGAGUGUGCAUCUGUUACAUUUCUGGGUAUAGGGAAAAAACAAUACAGUGUAAAAUAAAAUUAAUUCUUUGGGGCCAUAGCUCAGCUGGGAGAGCGCUUGCCUUGCACGCAAGAGGUCGGGAGUUCGAUCCUCCCUGGCUCCACCACUAAAUAUUUUUUUUCAUAUUAAAAACUUAAACAAGUUUACUUUUCUAGUUAAUUUGUUUAAGUUUUUAUACCCUUCUCAGGAAGAGUGCUCUUUAACAAUUUAAUACAUGAAGUAAAGUUUGUAAAUAUACAAUACAACGCAAGAUGACGUUUCAGGACGUUGUCUUAUUAAGGUGUAUUGCAUUGACACAACAAUUUCAAAAAAUAUGGAUUCUCAUUGAGGGAUUAUCUUCCCUCGAUGAAAUAAAAAGAAUUCACCGAUUACAUUUUGAAUGUAAUUUGUGACUUCAAGGUGAAAUACGACACCGUAUGACCUUUAUUUGUAUUCACAUACAGAUAGUUUGGGGUUAUAUGGUCAAGUGAAUAAGUGCAUACGACGGAUGCCUUGGCAGUAGAAGGCGAUGAAGGACGUGAUAAUCUGCGAUAAGCUUCGGUAAGCUGAUAAAUAAGCUUUGACCCGGAGAUCU
rnacentral:rRNA from 1 species